AUUUAUACUCGGAUAUCCUUCCGGUGGUCCCAGCCGCGCGUGCUUUACCAACCGCUCGGGGUGUGCGUUUCACCUAACUUCCUGCUACAGGCGCUUAGGGGAGUCCAGGCGCAGAGUAUCUGCAGAUUAACAGCAGAUCAAGAUGGGGUCCCACUGGGAAGACUUCAGAACUAGCGUUCUACUGGAUAUCAGUUUUAAAAUAUCACUUUUUUUUUCUUAAAUCCUUGAAAAGUUCCAGUGUGAUUUUUGUAUUUCAAACUCCAUUUUCUCAUCUCAACUACUCUCCGUGGGCCAUAGUUAGUUGCACUAAGUUAAGUCUGGGAAUAGAAAUUCCAGUUUGACCCCAGAAAUCUUCCAUGGGGUGGGGGGAGGGGGUGGUACAGAAGGAGAAGGGGCGGGAGCCGGCAGAUGGAGGGGAAGGCGGGGAGGAGGCUGGGGGAGGCUCUGGGAGCCGGAGCCCCCCACCCGGAGCCCGCGGUGACGUAGAUCUGGGCGCGGGGUGAGGCAGCCCUCGCCCACCGGGCUUUGGGCAGUGUUCCGCUGACCUCGUGACGAUCCGCGGUGGACAUGGGUUCCAUCCAGGACCCGGACUGCGCUCUCAGGGGAGGCCGCGCCUCAGUCCAGGCGUUACCUUCCGCCGUGGCAUUUCUCUCGGUGCCUGGUGCCUAACGUUCGCUAACGUAACCGGCUGCUGCAGCUCGGGGCCCUCUCCAACUUAGGGCAUUUGCAACAGAAACUACUCCGGACGAGCGCCAAGGGAGGGGCUUGUGCCUGCAAAGCUGGACGCUCAGCCAGGGGCCAUUCUGCAUGUGUGCAAUGAUUCCGAAAAUUCGCGCUGGAAGAAGCUAUAAUGGGAUCAAUGUCUCUCUGCGCCACGACACAUCAUUGUGCCGUCUAACAUCACCCUUCCUUGCUGUGCAAAAUUGCAGGACAAGAUGGAUCGUCUGUGCGAACAGGCUUCUCCCGGGGUCCCCGCUGCUGGGCUCUACCUCUUUAUACACCAAGAAGAUCCUGAUGUGGGCUCUAGGACAUCAAUAUCUUCACUAAAGGAGAUUUACACCCUCCACGUUGUCACCACCCACUGCAGUGUCUCUGCAGGGUAAGUGUCCGCUGUGCCUUUAAAAGCACAGCUGCGUCCUCCCCUCUCCAGUGUUUGCACUUUUACCUGUAAUCUGAUUGCAGGGAGGAAAGGAAAACCCCGGCGCCCCUCCCUAGCACCCCUCCCCAGCACCCUGUCACCGAGACCGUCUGUUUGGUUAGUAAUUCUACCCAGCUAGGACUUUUCCUUCGCUUGCUGCUCGCUCCUCCACCGAGCUGCAUCUCCAUGGCAAUGGAAAAACACGAUGCUGGAGAGGACUGGGAGGGCCCACAGCCCUGAAACCCUGCCCUCAGCUCCCGCCUGGCGGGAGGGGCUGGGCUGAUGUAUAUGUCGAGUUUAGGGGCUUGAGAUUCAGAGAUCAAAGGAGGUCAAGAGGGGGCUGUUGGAAUGGGAGAUAUUUAUUGUGUUUAAUAUAAUAUAAAUGUGUCCGAGGAGAGAAACUGAAACCUUGAAAGUCAUGUGGAUUGUGGGGAGUAAACAUAAACAGCACGUCUGAAAGUGGGCUCAAAAGAACUGGCUGCCUGAAAGGCUGCCAUAUUUUAAAAAAUUUAAACGGAGGGUAAAUUAAGACUGUAACCAUCUCAAUGAAAACUGAAGAUACAACUCUGUCAAAAACAUUGGCUAAGAUUUCUAACUCUGCUUCAGACCUGCUUUGUAAUACCUUCUGGCUGUAAAUGCCAGGAUGACCCAGAGCACUUGAGAAAUUUCUGGUUACACUUCCUAGCAACCUGUGUUUUGUUCUUAAGGACAUUUGCUUCAUACUAUUAACUAUACAGUUAACUUUGUGCCAGUUAAACAACGUGAAUUGGACAAAUUGUGGGCUGGCGGUGUGGGUGCCCAUUGGAGAAAGGGACUUUGUGCCUGGGGGUCUCCAUUAAUGAAACAAGAAAUAAGCCUCUAGUAAAACUGAUAUGAUGGGGAAUGACUUCUAUUCAGUUAACUCAAUUA
rnacentral:lncRNA from 1 species